rnacentral:tRNA from 1 species
GGGGCUGUAGCUCAGUGCAGAGCACCGGACUCUUAGCCCGGAGGUCGGCCGUUCAAGUCGGUCCAGCCCCC